CCUACGGGAGGCAGCAGUAAGGAAUAUUGGACAAUGCCCGCAAGGGUGAUCCAGCCAUGCCGCGUGCAGGAAGAAGGCGCUAUGCGUCGUAAACUGCUUUUACACCGGAGAAAACCUCCCCUCGUGAGGGGAGCUGAUAGUAUGGUGAGAAUAAGCAUCGGCUAACUUCGUGCCAGCAGCCGCGGUAAGACGAAGGAUGCAAGCGUUAUCCGGAUUCAUUGGGUUUAAAGGGAACGUAGGCGGCCCUGUAAGUCAGUGGUGAAAUCUCUCGGCUUAACCGAGAAAUUGCCAUUGAUACUGCAGGGCUUGAGUACAGUUGCUGUGGGCGGAAUAUGACAUGUAGUGGUGAAAUACAUAGAGAUGUCAUAGAACACCGAUUGCGAAGGCAGCUCACAAAACUGUAACUGACGCUGAGGCUCGAAAGUGCGGGGAUCAAACAGGAUUAGAUACCCUGGUAGUCCGCACUGUAAACGAUGAUUACUCGCUGCUGGGAGGUAACUUUCAGUGGCUUAGCGAAAGCGAUAAGUAAUCCACCUGGGGAGUACGCCGGCAACGGUUGAAACUCAAANAGAGUAGACGCGNGAGAGNGCGAGCGACGACGAGGGAGAGG
rnacentral:rRNA from 1 species